rnacentral:tRNA from 1 species
UCCCUGGUGGCUCAGAUGGUAAAGCGUCUGCCUACAAUGCAGAAGACCCGGGUUCGAUCCCUGGGUUGGGAA